GUGAGGAAUUUUCCGCAAUGGGCGAAAGCCUGACGGAGCAAUGCCGCGUGAAGGAUGAAGGCCUAUGGGUUGUAAACUUCUUUUCUCAGAAAAGAAUUAUGACGGUAUCUGAGGAAUAAGCAUCGGCUAACUCUGUGCCAGCAGCCGCGGUAAGACAGAGGAUGCAAGCGUUAUCCGGAAUGAUUGGGCGUAAAGCGUCUGUAGGUUGUUUAAAAAGUAUUCUGUCAAAGAUUAGGGCUUAACCCUAGAUAGGCAGAAUAAACUUUUAAGCUAGAGUUUGGUAGAGGCAGAGGGAAUUCCCGGUGGAGCGGUGAAAUGCGUAGAUAUCGGGAGGAACACCAAAGGCGAAGGCACUCUGCUGGGCCACUACUAACACUGAGAGACGAAAGCGAGGGGAGCAAAUGGGAUUAGAUACCCUGGUAGUCC
rnacentral:rRNA from 1 species